UACGGGGGGAGCAAGCGUUGUUCGGAUUUACUGGGCGUAAAGCGCACGUAGGCGGAUCGUUAAGUCGGGGGUGAAAUCCUGGGGCUCAACCCCAGAACUGCCUUCGAUACUGGCGAUCUAGAGUCCGGAAGAGGUGAGUGGAACUCCUAGUGUAGAGGUGGAAUUCGUAGAUAUUAGGAAGAACACCAGUGGCGAAGGCGGCUCACUGGUCCGGUACUGACGCUGAGGUGCGAAAGCGUGGGGAGCAAACAGG
rnacentral:rRNA from 1 species